CCUACGGGAGGCAGCAGUGGGGAAUAUUGGGCAAUGGGCGCAAGCCUGACCCAGCAACGCCGCGUGAAGGAAGAAGGCUUUCGGGUUGUAAACUUCUGUUAUGAGGGACGAAGAAAGUGACGGUACCUCAGGAAUAAGCCACGGCUAACUACGUGCCAGCAGCCGCGGUAAUACGUAGGGGGCAAGCGUUAUCCGGAUUGAGUGGGUGUAAAGGGCGUGUAGGCGGGAAAGCAAGUCAGAUGUGAAAGCUCAGGGCUCAACCCUGGGCCUGCAUUUGAAACUGGUUUUCUGGAGUGCUGGAGAGGCGAGCGGAAUUCCGGGUGUAGCAGUGAAAUGCGUAGAUAUACGGAGGAACAGCAGUGGCGAAGGCGGAUUGCUGGACAGUAACUGACGCUGAGGCGCGAAAGCGUGGGGAGCAAACAGGAUUAGAUACCCUAGUAGUC
rnacentral:rRNA from 1 species